rnacentral:tRNA from 1 species
AUGCCGGUGGCGCAAUGGUAUCGCGUCUGACUCCAGAUUAGAAGGUUGCGUGUUCGAAUCACGUCUGGCUCA